CCUACGGGAGGCAGCAGUGGGGGAUAUUGCACAAUGGGGGGAACCCUGAUGCAGCGACGCCGCGUGGGUGAAGGAGUGCUUCGGCAUGUAAAGCCCUAUCGGAAGGGAAGAAGCAAGACGGUACCUGACUAAGAAGCCCCGGCGAACUACGUGCCAGCAGCCGCGGUAAUACGUAGGGGGCGCGCGUUAUCCGGAUUCACUGGGUGUAAAGGGAGCGUAGACGGCCAUGCAAGCCAGGGGUGAAAGCCCGGGGCCCAACCCCGGGACUGCCCUUGGAACUGUGCGGCUAGAGUGCGGGAGGGGCAGGCGGAAUUCCUGGUGUAGCGGUGAAAUGCGUAGAUAUCAGGAGGAACACCGGCGGCGAAGGCGGCCUGCUGGACCGCGACUGACGUUGAGGCUCGAAAGCGUGGGGAGCGAACAGGAUUAGAUACCCUUGUAGUC
rnacentral:rRNA from 1 species